UACGUAGGGGGCAAGCGUUGUCCGGAAUCAUUGGGCGUAAAGAGCGUGUAGGCGGCCCGAUAAGUCCGCUGUGAAAGUCCAGGGCUCAACCCUGGAAUGCCGGUGGAUACUGUCGGGCUCGAGUCCGGAAGAGGUGAGUGGAAUUCCUGGUGUAGCGGUGAAAUGCGCAGAUAUCAGGAGGAACACCGAUGGCGAAGGCAGGUCUCUGGGCCACUACUGACGCUGAGAAGCGAAAGCGUGGGGAGCGAACAGG
rnacentral:rRNA from 1 species